AGGAAAAGAAACCAACCGGGAUUGCCUCAGUAACGGCGAGUGAAGCGGCAAGAGCUCAAAUUUGAAAGCUGGCCCCUCCGGGGUCCGCAUUGUAAUUUGCAGAGGAUGCUUCGGGCUCAGCCCCCGUCUAAGUGCCCUGGAACGGGCCGUCGGAGAGGGUGAGAAUCCCGUCUGGGACGGGGUGCCUGGGUCCAUGUGAAGCUCCUUCGACGAGUCGAGUUGUUUGGGAAUGCAGCUCUAAAUGGGUGGUAAAUUUCAUCUAAAGCUAAAUACUGGCCGGAGACCGAUAGCGCACAAGUAGAGUGAUCGAAAGAUGAAAAGCACUUUGAAAAGAGAGUUAAACAGCACGUGAAAUUGUUGAAAGGGAAGCGCUUGCGAUCAGACUCGCCUGCGGGGUUCAGCCGGCAUUCGUGCCGGUGUACUUCCCCGUGGGCGGGCCAGCGUCGGUUCGGGUGGCCGGUCAAAGGCCCCGGGAAUGUGUCGCCCUCCGGGGCGUCUUAUAGCCCGGGGUGCCAUGCGGCCUACCUGGACCGAGGAACGCGCUUCGGCUCGGACGCUGGCGUAAUGGUCGUAAGCGACCCGUCUUGAAACACGGACCAAGGAGUCUAACAUCUACGCGAGUGUUUGGGUGGCAAACCCAUACGCGCAGUGAAAGCGAACGGAGGUGGGAACCCUUCGGGGCGCACCAUCGACCGAUCCUGAUGUCUUCGGAUGGAUUUGAGUAAGAGCGUAGCUGUGGGGACCCGAAAGAUGGUGAACUAUGCCUGAAUAGGGCGAAGCCAGAGGAAACUCUGGUGGAGGCUCGCAGCGGUUCUGACGUGCAAAUCGAUCGUCAAAUUUGGGUAUAGGGGCGAAAGACUAAUCGAACCAUCUGGUAGCUGGUUCCU
rnacentral:rRNA from 1 species